AACGAACGCUGGCGGCAUGCCUAACACAUGCAAGUCGAACGAAGGCUUCGGCCUUAGUGGCGCACGGGUGAGUAACACGUGGGAACCUGCCUUUCGGUUCGGAAUAACGUUUGGAAACGAACGCUAACACCGGAUACGCCCUAUGGGGGAAAGUUUACGCCGAGAGAGGGGCCCGCGUCGGAUUAGGUAGUUGGUGGGGUAAUGGGUCACCAAGCCUGCGAUCCGUAGCUGGUCUGAGAGGAUGAUCAGCCACACUGGGACUGAGACACGGCCCAGACUCCUACGGGAGGCAGCAGUGGGGAAUAAUGGACAAUGGGCGCAAGCCUGAUCCAGCAAUGCCGCGUGAGUGAUGAAGGCCUUAGGGUUGUAAAGCUCUUUCGCACGCGACGAUGAUGACGGUAGCGUGAGAAGAAGCCCCGGCUAACUUCGUGCCAGCAGCCGCCGUAACAC
rnacentral:rRNA from 1 species